AGUGAACGCUGGCGGUAGGCCUAACACAUGCAAGUCGAACGGCAGCACAGUAAGAGCUUGCUCUUACGGGUGGCGAGUGGCGGACGGGUGAGGAAUACAUCGGAAUCUACUUUUUCGUGGGGGAUAACGUAGGGAAACUUACGCUAAUACCGCAUACGACCUACGGGUGAAAGCAGGGGAUCUUCGGACCUUGCGCGAUUGAAUGAGCCGGUGUCGGAUUAGCUAGUUGGUGGGGUAAAGGCCCACCAAGGCGACGAUCCGUAGCUGGUCUGAGAGGAUGAUCAGCCACACUGGAACCGAGACACGGUCCAGACUCCUACGGGAGGCAGCAGUGGGGAAUAUUGGACAAUGGGCGCAAGCCUGAUCCAGCCAUACCGCGUGGGUGAAGAAGGCCUUCGGGUUGUAAAGCCCUUUUGUUGGGAAAGAAAAGCAGCAGGUUAAUACCCCGCUGUUCUGACGGUACCCAAAGAAUAAGCACCGGCUAACUUCGUG
rnacentral:rRNA from 1 species